rnacentral:rRNA from 1 species
UACGUAGGGUGCGAGCGUUAAUCGGAAUUACUGGGCGUAAAGCGUGCGCAGGCGGUUUUGUAAGUCAGAUGUGAAAUCCCCGGGCUCAACCUGGGAAUGGCAUUUGGGACUGCAAGGCUGGAGUUUGGCAGAGGAGACUGGAAUUCCCGGUGUAGCAGUGAAAUGCGUAGAUAUCGGGAGGAAUACCGAUGGCGAAGGCAGGUCUCUGGGCUAUAACUGACGCUCAUGCACGAAAGCGUGGGGAGCAAACAGG